AAACGCUUGAAGUCAGUCGCGUUGGCUGAGAAUCAACCUUGCUUUGCUUGGUGUACUUCUUAGUCGACGGGUCAGCAUCAGUUUUGGCCGGUGGAUAAAGGUUCAGGGAAUGUGGCAUCUUCGGAUGUGUUAUAGCCUUGGGUCACAUACAUCGGCUGGGACUGAGGAACUCAGCGCGCCGCAAGGACGGGUUUCGACCACGUUCGCGCUUAGGAUGCUGGCAUAAUGGCUUUAAUCGA
rnacentral:rRNA from 1 species